UCCGCAGGUGGCCUUGUAAGUCUGUCGUUAAAGCGCGGAGCUUAACUCCAUUUCAGCGAUGGAAACUACAAGGCUAGAGUGUGGUAGGGGCAGAGGGAAUUCCCGGUGUAGCGGUGAAAUGCGUAGAUAUCGGGAAGAACACCAGUGGCGAAGGCGCUCUGCUGGGCCAUCACUGACACUCAUGGACGAAAGCCAGGGGAGCGAAAG
rnacentral:rRNA from 1 species